rnacentral:rRNA from 1 species
GGCUUGAAACAUUAAGCCGGCCACGGUUUCGUGUGUUAGUGCUUGAUGUUCUGGCCAUCCUUCCAAUUGCUAUUCAUCUUUCUUCAUUGAUGGGUGAGUAGUAUUGGAUCUUUUACUUUGAACAAAUUAGAGUGUUUCAAGCAGGCUUUAUGCUAUGAAUACAUUAGCAUGGAAUAAUAAUUUAGGACUUCGGUUCUAUUUUGUUGGUUUCUAGGACUGAAGUA